rnacentral:rRNA from 1 species
UUCCGGUUGAUCCCGCCGGACCUGACUGCUAUCGGAUUGAUACUAAGCCAUGCGAGUCUUUGCAGUAAUGCAAGGCGGACUGCUCAGUAACACGUAGUCAACUUAACCUAUGGAUGGGUAUAACCUCGGGAAACUGAGAAUAAUUCCCAAUAGAUCAUUUAUCCUGGAAUGGUUAGUGAUUGAAAUGAUUCGUCGCCAUAGGAUAGGACUGCGGCCUAUCAGCUUGUUGGUGAGGUAAAGGCCCACCAAGGCUAUUACAGGUACGGGCUCUGAGAGGAGAAGCCCGGAGAUGGGUACUGAGACAAGGACCCAGGCCCUAUGGGGCGCAGCAGGCGAGAAAACUUUGCAAUGUGCGAAAGCACGACAAGGUUAGUCCGAGUGAUUUCUGCUAAAGAGAUCUUUUGCUAGUUAUAAAACCACUAGUGAAUAAGGGGUGGGCAAGUUCUGGUGUCAGCCGCCGCGGUAAAACCAGCACCUCAAGUGGUCAGGAUGAUUAUUGGGCCUAAAGCAUCCGUAGCCGGCUCUGUAAGUUUUCGGUUAAAUCUAUGCGCUCAACGUAUGGGCUGCCGAAAAUACUGUAGAGAUAGGGAGUGGGAGAGGUAGACGGUACUCGGUAGGAAGGGGUAAAAUCCUUUGAUCUAUCGAUGACCACCUGUGGCGAAGGCGGUCUACCAGAACACGUUCGACGGUGAGGGAUGAAAGCUGGGGGAGCAAACCGGAUUAGAUACCCGGGUAGUCCCAGCUGUAAACGAUGCAGACUCGAUGAUGCAUUGGCAUAUAGCCAGUGCAGUGUCGCAGGGAAGCCGUUAAGUCUGCCGCCUGGGAAGUACGUACGCAAGUAUGAAACUUAAAGGAAUUGGCGGGGGAGCACCACAAGGGGUGAAGCCUGCGGUUCAAUUGGAGUCAACGCCGGG